AAAAAAACGAAAAAAAAUAAAAUCACAUGACCCUAAUUGAAAAAUGACCAAAUCACUGGAUACUUUUUUGUACUUCCCCAAAAAUAUAAGGCCCAACUAGUUAGGCAGGUUUAGUGUAAUCUCAGCUCAACUUAGGCUAAGCUUGCAUUUUGAGCAGGGCCACAACAAGUACUAAGAACUACUUCCUUUUCUAGAUAAUGUUUUUCGUAGAUUUUACUUUAAAAAAUAAAAAAAGGUCAUGUUACAUGAAAUAAAUGGAGCCUUAAAACUUGAUUUAAAAUUGAGUGGAAACUAAUCUCAAACAUGCUUUUUCCAUGUUGAAAUUUAU
rnacentral:misc_RNA from 1 species